ACUUAAAUAGUUUAUAAAAAUAUUGAUUUGUGGAGUCAAAGAUAUGAUAUGUUCAUUUUAAGUA
rnacentral:tRNA from 1 species